GAUGAACGCUAGCUACAGGCUUAACACAUGCAAGUCGAGGGGCAGCAUGAGGUCAGCUUGCUGACUUUGAUGGCGACCGGCGCACGGGUGAGUAACGCGUAUCCAACCUGCCCAUAACUAAGGGAUAAUCCGUAGAAAUGCGGUCUAAUACCUUAUGUUGUCCGAGGAAGACAUCUGAUUCGGACGAAAGAUUUAUCGGUUAUGGAUGGGGAUGCGUCUGAUUAGCUUGUUGGCGGGGUAACGGCCCACCAAGGCGACGAUCAGUAGGGGUUCUGAGAGGAAGGUCCCCCAAUUGGAACUGAGACACGGUCCAAAACUCCUACGGGAGGCAGCAGUGAGGAAUAUUGGUCAAUGGACGAGAGUCUGAACCAGCCAAGUAGCGUGCAGGAUGACGGCCCUAUGGGUUGUAAACUGCUUUUAUACGGGGAUAAAAGGUGUCACGUGUAGACAUUUUGCAGGUACCGUAUGAAUAAGGACCGCUAAUUCCGUGCCAGCACG
rnacentral:rRNA from 1 species